GACGAACGCUGGCGGCGUGCCUAAUACAUGCAAGUCGAACGCAGUGGGGACGGGUGAGUAACACGUGGGUAACCUCCCAUCAGAGGGGAUAACACUUGGAAACAGGUGCUAAACCGCUACUGAUGGAUGGACCCGCGGUGCAUGAGCUAGUUGGUGAGGUAACGGCUCACCAAGGCAACGAUGCAUAGCACACCUGAGAGGGUGAGCGGCAACACUGGGAAUGAGAAACGGCCCAGACUCCGACGGGAGGCAGCAGUAGGGAAUCUUCGGCAAUGGACGAAAGUCGGACCGAGCAACGCCGCGUGAGUGAAGAAGGUUUUCGGAUCGUAAAACUCGGUGGUUAGAGAAGCGGUAGCUAACCAGAAAGCCACGGCUAACUACGUGCCAGCAGCCGCGGUAAUUC
rnacentral:rRNA from 1 species